rnacentral:rRNA from 1 species
GAUGAACGCUGGCGGCGUGCCUAAUACAUGCAAGUCGAGCGAACAGACGAGGAGCUUGCUCCUCUGACGUUAGCGGCGGACGGGUGAGUAACACGUGGAUAACCUACCUAUAAGACUGGGAUAACUUCGGGAAACCGGAGCUAAUACCGGAUAAUAUAUUGAACCGCAUGGUUCAAUAGUGAAAGACGGCUUUGCUGUCACUUAUAGAUGGAUCCGCGCCGCAUUAGCUAGUUGGUAAGGUAACGGCUUACCAAGGCAACGAUGCGUAGCCGACCUGAGAGGGUGAUCGGCCACACUGGAACUGAGACACGGUCCAGACUCCUACGGGAGGCAGCAGUAGGGAAUCUUCCGCAAUGGGCGAAAGCUUGACGGAGCAACGCCGCGUGAGUGAAGAAGGUCUUCGGAUCGUAAAACUCUGUUAUUAGGGAAGAACAAAUGUGUAAGUAACUAUGCACGUCUUGACGGUACCUAAUCAGAAAGCCACGGCUAACUACGUG